UCCCUGGUGGCUCAACUGGUAAAGAAUCUGCCUGCAGUGCAGGAGACCUGGGUUCGAUCCCUGGGUUGGGAA
rnacentral:tRNA from 1 species